UUGCUUUGAGAAAUUGCCCGCCGGAGCUACCCCAACUCCGGCAGCUUCUCCUGGUUGCUACAGGAAGAAGUUGGGAGCCCCGCCUUGUGUCUAGGAUUCGCCCCGGCGCCGUCUACCCCGUCCCACACUCGCCUCUCUCCGGAACCAACUCCGACGCCGGAUCCCGGCGAACCAGAGCCGCCGCCGCCGCACUUCGGCGAACGGAUCUCCUCUCUCCGGUGAGCCCUCUCCCUUCGAUCUGCUCGAUCCAACAGGUUGCCCUCUCUGAUCUGAAAAAAAAAACCGAAGGGGUAUCUUCCUAUAGCAGCACGACACGUGGCAGUACAUAUCAAAUCCCGUAAUUCAUUUUGAGAAAAAUGCCCAAUCUUUAGGAAUUCAUAUCUUUUAGUCUAUAGAUCCGAUUUAGUUGAUUCUUUUUCCUACUAGUUCAUAAAAAUCCCCUCUAUCCAGAUGACUAAACGAAAAAUAUUUUUGAAAAUUUGAAAUUUUGAAUCCAAACAGAUCUGAAUUCAAACUUCGUUAGGCCGUAUCUCGAGUUUCGUAACUCCGUUUUAGGUGAUUCUUUUUGCAAAUCGAAGCUCGUAACGUGUACUUUCUGUUAAAACCAAAACAUUUAUUUUGUUACUACAAAAAUUAUGUUCUGUACAGAAACUUUAUUUUGUUGUUUUUGAAGUUUUCCGAAGUCCUCUCUUUGUUUUCUUUUUGAUUCUUUGCUUGUAUGCUUAUGUAUGUUAUUGCUUGCUUACGCUAGAUCAUCCGGAGUGCGAGGCUUGCUACUACGAAUCUUUAGAGUUCAACGAUCGUCAGCAAGGCAAGUUCACACUUUGAUCAUAAUUUUCAAUACCUAGUUUUACUAUGCAUUAGUUUAACCCUCAAAGAUUGCAUGAGUAGGAUUGGGAACAUGUGGUUAUGCUAUGUAGUUCAUCUGGUAGGAACCUAUGACCUUUGAUCACCCCGGGAAUAUUCUUUAUAUCAUAUAUUGCUUAGCCAUGCUCGUAGACGGGGAUUGGUAUGUGUGAUCCAUGCAAGUUGCGAGAGCUAAUAAUUUUGGGAUAAUGGCAACUUUAAUACACAUCUGGGUGGAUUGUUUGGGGCACCUGGAGAGACCAGUGCUUGCCCAAGGGGAAUCCCGGAGUACCGGUGUGAUUACCCUAGGUCCGCCACCCAGGCUCAAAGGGAUCAUAAGAUAUUUCAUGCCUUAAAACUUUCGGGUGCAGCCACAAGCCAUUAUGGGCUCUGGCAUAGUUGAGUAAGUUGUGUGACCUCUUUCCGUGGUAGACUAGCAGAUAUAGGGGAAAGUAGGUGUACCGGUCUACCCAGGGUUAAGGGGAAACGCUUCUGAAAGGCUAUGUCUCGAUCUUCCGAUCAUGGAGGUGGUCGAGUCUUGUGGGGGAAAAUGCGCAAACCUCUGUAGAGUGUACAAACUAAUCAUGAUUAGCCGUGUCCCCGGUUAUGGACAACUUGAGUAUCUAGAAGUGAAUUAUUGGUUGAUCUCAUCACUCUUUUAAUGAAAUUAUUGGGUUACUAAUAACUUAGGAAUUUUGGGAUUGAGUUGGAGGAACCUUCUCAAUAAUGGCAUUUUAAUUUAGUAGUAAAAAAAGUUUAUUCCUUUGUUGUAGGAUAAAAUUAGCUUUAUGCAAAAUUAAACUUAGAGCCUCCACCAGCUAAAUUUGCAUAUAGAGAUAGUCUUUUCAUUUAUUAUUAUUCUAUGGUGUGAAAUUGCCAGCAUAUUUCAUGUGCUGACCUACACUGCUGCAACGUCUCAUGUUGCAGACUUUUCCGAUGAGGAUUAAAGGUGCGAUAGGUCAUUGUUCUGCACUCAGUUUGCCGUGGAAUUGGAUGGACUCAUUUACCUUUGAAGCUUCCGCAGUUAUUUUUAUUUAGAUGGCCUUUGGCCAUAUUAUUGUAAUAUAUACUCUUUUGAGAACCUCAAUGUAAUAAAGUGUGAUUGAACUCUGUUAUAAUUCCUCGAGUACUGUGUGUGUCAGCAUACCAAUCCAGGGAUGACACUUGGGCACAGAGACUUUGAUCCAUUUUGGGUCGGGUCGCUACAGUGCAUACACGACAAUAUAUCUGCUUUCCUCUAUUUUUAUGCUUGUUCGAG
rnacentral:lncRNA from 1 species